CUGGAAUGACUGGCUCUAUCCGUCACACCCAUCACGCACGACCUUAUCCUUUCCAUCGUGGCUAGGCAUCUUCCUCUUCUCCGCUGUUCACACAAACGCAGACACGCUGCCCUCUCCAUUCUCGUGAGCCGCUCUCUCCCAAUCCUUCGAUUCGUUCGUUAACCUCUGGUGGAAUCGUGGCCGAUGGCCGGCGACGACGCAGUGAUGUUCCGUGGUGGUGGCCGCCGCGGUGGUUUUGGUGGCCAUGGAGGCAUGAUCGAGGAUGCGUUGCCUCAUAGUCCAGGAUUUUACCUUUAUGGCGCCAUUGGCUUGCCAUUGGGCAAUUGAACACGCGGAUCAAUUCCCAACGUUGUAAGAUUCGUUCCUUUUUUAAUAUAUUUUUUACUACACAUGAAUAAUUUCUAAAUUUACUUACAUACAAUGGAGUUUAUCAACAAUAUUAGAUGGCUCAAAGAUGUUGCCGAAGCUGUGGAUGGUACUACUCUAGUAGUGCAAACCGAGGUUGUUCGUCAACCUUAUUUCAAACAAGUACAUAUAUCUUUUCAAGCACCUGUUCGAAAUAUAGACUUCACCUUGAUGGCACCAGGAGAUACCAUCCCGAUGGUUUCAAUUGCCGCAAUGGGUGGAGUUGCACCAAAUUGGGUAACUUAUGAGAGGCUACCCGUGGAGGCCUACCUAGAGCAGUUUCAGGAUCAUGGGUACUUUGUGCUAGACUUUUCAUAUUUUCAAAUAAAGCAGCUCGAAGCGGGAGAAAGCAAUGUUACUCAGACUGUUGAGAGGCUUUGUUAGCUUAAUCAAGAUAACAGGGAUCUCCUCCAAGGUACUACCUAUGCGGCAAUGAGCUUUCUAGCGAUUCUGGAUCAAGUCAUUGAAGCGGUGGAUGUAACUUACAUGGGUGGAGAGCCAUUAUUCACCAAAGGUUUGAAGUUUCAAGCAAAACUCACCUUCUACAAGCCAAAUUAGCUUAACACUCCAUUGUUCGAUAUUUAUAGUACUGUAUGUGUCUAUCAUUGGCAAGCGAAGAAGAGUGCACUUGUCUGUGCUUUAGCUUAUUCUGAUGAAGUUCUAGGCUGGACGAUUGGAGACCUUAACUAUCUUCCAUAUCUACAGAAGUGGGUCGGAGGAGCAUGAAUGUGUAAUAUGUAUGGAUGUACCCUUACCCUUUUCUUAUGGAUUUGAACUUGCACUAUUGUAAGAACUUAAGACCUAAAGUAUUGAUGUACGAACUUGCACUAUUGUAAGAACAGUAGUAUGGAUGUACCCUUACUCUUUUCUUAUUGAGGUCGUAACUGGUUA